CUCCAUCUUAGCUCCCUGUCAAUCAUUGUUAUAAGCUCCGCCCUUUACACCUGGCAGUCAGUAUAGAGAGAGCCACCUCCAUUUUAGCUCCCUGUCAAUCAUUGUUAUAAGCUCCGCCCAUUACACCUGGCAGUCAGUAUAGAGCCGCCUCCAUCUUAGCUCCCUGUCAAUCAUUGUUAUAAGCUCCGCCCAUUACACCUGGCAGUCAGUAUAGAGAGAGCCACCUCCAUCUUAGCUCCCUGUCAAUCAUUGUUAUAAGC